UAAUACCAGCUCCCCGAGUGGUCGGGACGAUUAUUGGGCCUAAAGCAUCCGUAGCCGGUUCUGUAGGUCUUAUGUUAAAAUCAAUUGCUUAACAAUUGAACUGCAUGAGAUACCACAAAACUAGGAGGCGGGAGAGGUGGACGGUAUUCCACGGGUAGGGGUAAAAUCCUCUGAACCGUGGAGGACCACCAGUGGCGAAGGCGGUCCACCAGAACGCGCUCGACGGUGAGGGAUGAAAGCUGGGGUAGCGAACCGGAUUAGAUACCCGGGUAGUCCCAGCUGUAAACGAUGCAAGCUAGGUGAUGCAUUAGCCACGUGUUAAUGCAGUGCCGCAGGGAAGCCGUUAAGCUUGCCGCCUGGGGAGUACGGUCGCAAGGCUG
rnacentral:rRNA from 3 species